rnacentral:rRNA from 1 species
AUGUCGGAGACGCAACCACCCUCGCCAUCGUCGUGGUCGGCCAUCCCGCUGGACCUGGCUGGGCUGGUGCUCUGGCUCCUCCCCGCGUGCGCCGACCGCGCCCGCUUCGCCGCGGUAUGCCCGCAGUGGCGCACCGCCGCGCUGCACCACCGUGUGCUCCCGGUGCUGCCGCUGCUCGCGCUCCCGGACGGCACCUUCUACAGCCUCCCUUACAGCAAGCGGUUCUGCUUCCCAGGCUGCGGCUUCGCGGGGUACAACAGCGCCUGCGGCCGCUGGCUCGCUUUCCUACGCGACGACGGAUGCUUCCUCGUGGAUCCAUUCACCGGCGCCACCGUGACGCUCCCUGCACUCUCUCACGUCCGGCUCCGUCCACAGCAUGCGGAUCUGAAGCACAUACCAGAGCACGAGCGUCACACCCGCGGCACAUGGCUGCUUAUCAGAAACGUGGACACUCUCCUGCUGAGUAAGCUGAUACUGUGCUCGCCGAACCUCGCCGCUGCAUUUGUCUCCCAUGAAAUGCUUGGCCAAAUCCUGCUGUGCCGGCCAGGGGCUACCUCGUGGUCGGUACGCGCGUACGAUGAGUGCAAGGAUUACAAAGAUAUGGCGUUCUACCAGGGCAAGCUCUACGCCAUUGACUACGGCGAGGACCUCUUCAUGGUAAACAUCGGCCAGGACGAGAGCACCGGCGACCCGCAGAUUUCUCGGAUCGGACGGAUCAUCAAUGGCAGUCCAUGUGAUUUGGAUUGGACGCCAAGCAACAGCACCAUCAAGAUCAAGGUUUACCUGGUCGAAUCAUGUGGCAAGCUGCUAAUGGUACGCAGGAAGAUCUGGUGCAGGCUGGUGCUGGACCAUGUUUUGGCUGGAGAGAGCGAGUUCGAGGUGUUCGAGGCUGACUUCAAGCGCUCACGGUGGAUCAGUGUGACGACCUUGGGAGAGGACCAGGUGGUUUUUGUUGGGCGAAGCUGCUCCCUGGCCGUUCCCGUGUCUCAGUACGGGAUGAAGGGAGAUCGGAUCUUUUUCUUGGACGAUGAUGAAUAUUACAAGGGCUAUAGCCACAAGAACGACGACACUUCCAUCAGUGUCUACGACAUGAUAGACGGUGAGGUUUCAUCCCCUCUGCCGAUGGUCUCAUGGAAACGUGACACAGAUAGAAACAAAAUGCAUCACACGACAUGGCUACUUCCGUGA